rnacentral:tRNA from 1 species
GCGAAAAUGGCGAAAUUGGUAGACGCUUUGGACUUAGAAUCCAAUGGGCUUUCCCGUGAGAGUUCGAUUCUCUCUUUUCGUA